rnacentral:siRNA from 1 species
AGAGUAUUGUUGCAAAAUGGUAGU